rnacentral:rRNA from 1 species
AUUGAACGCUGGCGGCAUGCCUUACACAUGCAAGUCGAACGGCAGCACGGGAGCAAUCCUGGUGGCGAGUGGCGAACGGGUGAGUAAUAUAUCGGAACGUGCACAGUAGUGGGGGAUAACUGCUCCAAAGAGCAGCUAAUACCGCAUACGACCAGAGGGUGAAAGGGGGGGAUCGCAAGACCUCUCGCUAUUGGACAGGCCGAUAGCACAUUAGCUAGUUGGUGGGGUAAAGGCCUACCGAGGCAACGAUCUGUAGUUGGUCAGGGAGGACGACCAGCCACAAUGGGACUGGGAAACCGCCCCGAAUCGUACGGGAGGCAGCAGUAGAGAAUGUUGGGCAAUGGGCGCAAAGCUGAUCCGGCAAUGCAGCGUGGAGGAAGAAGGCGUUCGGGUUGUAAACUGCUUUUGUCAGGGAAGAAGACCUCUAGGUUAAUACCCUUGGGGGGAUGACGGUACCUGAAGAAUAAGCACCGGCUAAAUACGUGCCAGCCGCCGCUGUAAAAC